AUCCAGUUGAAGAGUCGCAAAUAGGACAAAUUGUGCGUCCUGGAU
rfam:Schistosoma haematobium scaffold4_19, whole genome shotgun sequence.